rnacentral:rRNA from 1 species
AGGGAAUCUUCCGCAAUGGACGAAAGUCUGACGGAGCAACGCCGCGUGAGUGAUGAAGGUUUUCGGAUCGUAAAACUCUGUUGUUAGGGAAGAACAAGUACCGUUCGAAUAGGGCGGUACCUUGACGGUACCUAACCAGAAAGCCACGGCUAACUACGUGCCAGCAGCCGCGGUAAUACGUAGGUGGCAAGCGUUGUCCGGAAUUAUUGGGCGUAAAGCGCGCGCAGGCGGUCUUUUAAGUCUGAUGUGAAAGCCCACGGCUCAACCGUGGAGGGUCAUUGGAAACUGGAAGACUUGAGUGCAGAAGAGGAGAGUGGAAUUCCACGUGUAGCAGUGAAAUGCGUAGAGAUGUGGAGGAACACCAGUGGCGAAGGCGGCUCUCUGGUCUGUAACUGACGCUGAGGCGCGAAAGCGUGGGGAGCAAAC